rnacentral:rRNA from 1 species
UACGAAGGGGGCUAGCGUUGUUCGGAUUUACUGGGCGUAAAGCGCACGUAGGCGGAUCGUUAAGUCGGGGGUGAAAUCCUGGAGCUCAACUCCAGAACUGCCUUCGAUACUGGAAAGCUCGAGUCCGGGAGAGGUGAGUGGAACUGCGAGUGUAGAGGUGAAAUUCGUAGAUAUUCGCAAGAACACCAGUGGCGAAGGCGGCUCACUGGCCCGGUACUGACGCUGAGGUGCGAAAGCGUGGGGAGCAAACAGG